ACUCGAGUGGCGAACGGGUGAGUAACACGUGGGUGAUCUGCCUUGUACUCUGGGAUAAGCUUGGGAAACUGGGUCUAAUACCGGAUAAUAGCUGCCUUUAGUGUGGUGGUUGGAAAGUUUUUUCGGUGUAGGAUGAGCUCGCGGCCUAUCAGCUUGUUGGUGGGGUAAUGGCCUACCAAGGCGGCGACGGGUAGCCGGCCUGAGAGGGUGGACGGCCACAUUGGGACUGAGAUACGGCCCAG
rnacentral:rRNA from 1 species